rnacentral:lncRNA from 1 species
AUUUAAGCUAAAAUUAUAAUCCUCUAUCUCAUUUGAAAUAAAUCUCUAAUGAGAGUCACUUGGUAAACUGCACUUGUCUUAGAAUGUUGUAUUGUUUUGUCAGUCAAUAUGCAGGGUAUCACAAUUCUGGGUGUGUCACAGUUCUACUGUAGCUAAUUAUGGAGAGGGUAUGGAGGUACCAAAGGAUUUACGGGUCUUCACAUAAUCACACUUCAAAAUACGAACUGCCGCAGGAGACAAUCAAUGGAAGAAAAAUAGAGGUUUAUUUGUGAUGCAGCUGCUUCCCUGUGAAGAAGUGACUGUCCUGCAUCCUCCCACCCUGGGGACCCAGAAAUGGGACCCAAGCUGUCAGAUUCAUAGAAAGCUGAAGCAUUUCAGAUCAGACCACCUGCUCCCCACAUCACGUCAAAUCCAGCAGUGGUGUUUGCAGUUCUAUCUGACAAAAAUUUCACAGCAACAGCAAAAGCAAAGUUCGGAGCAUUACACAUCCACAAUCAGCUGAGCAGGUGUUGGGUAUUUGGUCCCAGAAAUGAGAAAAGUGACUAAGAUAUGGAUCUUGAAGAAUAAUGAAGAAUUUUAUCAAAGUAUGUGGGAGAGAGAGAAACUUUCAUGUUUCAGGUAAGCAUGAGGAAUGGUCUGGAAGUAUGUUUAUGG